rnacentral:tRNA from 2 species
GCCUCUGUAGCUCAGUGGUAGAGCGGCAGUUUCGUAAACUGUAGGUCGGGAGUUCAAUUCUCUCCAGAGGCU